UUCUCUUGAUUUUCCUUUGUCUUCCUCUUGUUUUCCUUCUUCGGCCGAGAGAAAUUUUGGAAAACAAAAAUUCGUCGGCGAGCUUCUUCGGCGAAUCAUCGCUUCUAUCCUCUUCCUCUCAUUCCCCUGAGCUUGGUGGUGAAGCAUCCUCCAAGGGGAAGGAAACCGCCAAUCAGUGUGAGCGUCUCCACGCGAGGGAACAUGUUCUGUUUUAGUGGUUUUGGUCAUCAUAGCGAGUGAAGUGCUUGGCAAUUUGU